rnacentral:rRNA from 1 species
GAUAGGCUCAGGACGAACGCUGGCGGCGUGCCUAAUACAUGCAAGUCGAGCGAAGUUUUUCUGGUGCUUGCACUAGAAAAACUUAGCGGCGAACGGGCGAGUAACACGUAAAGAACCUGCCUCAUAGACGGGGACAACUAUUGGAAACGAUAGCUAAUACCGGAUAACAGCAUAAAUCGCAUGAUAUAUGUUUAAAAGUUGGUUUCGGCUAACACUAUGAGAUGGCUUUGCGGUGCAUUAG